rnacentral:rRNA from 1 species
CGGCUCAUGAGGUGCUGCAGACUAAAGCUAUAAAGCACUUUCGCUCUGGGUGAGUACGAGUCGCAAGACUGAAAAUACAAUAGACAUUGACUGGGGGCCCGCACAAGCGGUGGAGCAUGUGGUUUAAUUCGAAGCAACGCGAAGAACCUUACACAUGUCUUGACAUCCUGUGACCACCCCAGAGAUAGGGCUUUCUCUUUGGGGGCAGAGUGACAGGUGGGGCAUGGUUGUUGUCAGCUCGCGUCGUGAGAUGUUGGGUUCAGUUCCGCAACGAGCGCAACCCUUGAUCUUAGUUGCCGGCAUUUAGUUGGGCACUUUAAGGUGACUGCCGGUGACAAACCGGAGGAAGGUGGGGAUGACGUCAAAUUAUCAUGCCCCCUUUGACCUGGGCUACACACUUGGUUCAAUGGACAGAACAAAGGGGUGCGAGACCGCAAGGUUUAGCCAAUCCCACAAAUCUGUUCUCAGUUCGGAUCGCAGUUUGCAACUCGAAUGCGUGAAGCGGGAAUCGCUUGUAAUCGCGGAUCUGCAUGCCGCGGUGAAUACGUUCCCGGGCCUAGUACACACCGCCCGUCACACCACGUGAGUUUGCAACACCCGAAGUCGGUGAGGUAACCUUUAUGGAUCCAGCCGCCGAAGGUGGGGCAGAUGAUUGGGGGAAGUCGGAGCAACUAGCCUAGCCC